rnacentral:rRNA from 1 species
ACUCAAAUGAAUAGACGGGGGCCCGCACAAGCGGCGGAGCAUGCGGAUUAAUUCGAUGCAACGCGAAGAACCUUACCUGGGUUUGACAUACACCGGAAAGUGCCAGAGAUGGUGCCCCUUUUUGUCGGUGUACAGGUGGUGCAUGGCUGUCGUCAGCUCGUGUCGUGAGAUGUUGGGUUAAGUCCCGCAACGAGCGCAACCCUCGUCCUAUGUUGCCAGCAAUUCGGUUGGGGACUCAUAGGAGACUGCCGGGGUCAACUCGGAGGAAGGUGGGGAUGACGUCAAGUCAUCAUGCCCCUUAUGUCCAGGGCUUCACGCAUGCUACAAUGGCCGGUACAAAGGGCUGCGAUCCCGUGAGGGGGAGCGAAUCCCAAAAAGCCGGUCUCAGUUCGGAUUGGGGUCUGCAACUCGACCCCAUGAAGUCGGAGUCGCUAGUAAUCGCAGAUCAGCAACGCUGCGGUGAAUACGUUCCCGGGCCUUGUACACACCGCCCGU